rnacentral:rRNA from 1 species
UACGUAGGUGACAAGCGUUGUCCGGAUUUAUUGGGCGUAAAGAGCUCGUAGGCGGUUUGUCGCGUCGUCUGUGAAAACCCACGGCUCAACUGUGGGCUUGCAGGCGAUACGGGCAGGCUAGAGUUCGGUAGGGGAGACUGGAAUUCCUGGUGUAGCGGUGAAAUGCGCAGAUAUCAGGAGGAACACCGGUGGCGAAGGCGGGUCUCUGGGCCGAUACUGACGCUGAGGAGCGAAAGCGUGGGGAGCGAACAGG